CCUACGGGUGGCAGCAGUGAGGAAUAUUGGUCAAUGGGCGCUAGCCUGAACCAGCCAAGCCGCGUGAAGGAUGACUGCCCUAUGGGUUGUAAACUUCUUUUAUAUGGGAACAAAGUGCAGUAUGUAUACCGCUUUGCGUGUACCUUAUGAAUAAGGAUCGGCUAACUCCGUGCCAGCAGCCGCGGUAAUACGGAGGAUCCGAGCGUUAUCCGGAUUUAUUGGGUUUAAAGGGAGCGUAGGCGGGUUGUUAAGUCAGCUGUGAAAGUUGGCGGCUCAACCGUAACAAUGCAGUUGAUACUGGCAGCCUUGAGUACAGGAGAGGUAGGCGGAAUUCGCGGUGUAGCGGCGAAAUGCUUAGAUAUCGCGAAGAACUCCGAUUGCGAAGGCAGCCUGCUGGACUGUAACUGACGCUGAGGCUCGAAAGUGUGGGUAUCGAACAGGAUUAGAUACCCCUGUAGUC
rnacentral:rRNA from 1 species